AUCAGAUUUAUACUUAGUUUUGAACACAUAUUUACAGUUAAUAACAUCCUUUCCAGGUGGGAGAUUAGUAACAACCCAAAUAUUAUUGGCCUCUAAAGCUUCAAGUUCAACUUCCACUGCCUUACACCAGUCUGGGUCCUUAACAGUUUGAUUAUAUGUUUGUGGAUCAGUGUGUGAGGAAAUAGAAGAAGUAAAAGCCGAGUAGGUUGGUGACGAGCGAUGAUAAGUAAGUGAUUGUGUUAAAGGAAAUGGCAUACCCGACUGUGCAAAAAGUUGGACGCGGAUUGAGCAGGCGAGUUGAGGAAGCUUGCUGACAGUGGAAAUCUUGAAGAUAUUGAGGAGCUCUUCAAGUCCUGGUCGAUCUUCUAAGUGUUGGUUCUAUAGGAGGCUCAGAUGAGAAAGUAGUAGGAGAUCCAUUAGGUGGAGCAAAUCCUGAAUGUGCGGGAGAAGAAGGAGAAUUAGGAGAUGAGGGAAUGGAAUAACAUAUAGUGACUGGAUCAAUAGAAGAAUUUUAAGGAAGAGAGUGAAUAUUAGGUGAGGAAAUUAUGGUUCGAGUGAAAUCAGUAGAAGGAGUGAGAGGAGCUGGAUUGAUAGUGGUAUUCAUUUGAAAUGGGGAAUGUGUUU
rnacentral:lncRNA from 1 species